GAGAUUCAUGUGGGAGAGAUCAAGAGUUUCAAUAGCUCCAUGAGGAUCGCACCACACUCCAGUCCAGUUACAGUGAGUUGUAGUGUUGGACAAUUUCCAAUGUUGAAGCUUAUUUAAGGGAUCUAAAAGACCCCCUUUUAUCGAUAGCAGAGCUGAUGCUUCUUCAUUCAAAGCAGCAGAACCAAAAGAGUGAAAACCAAUGCAACAGCAGAAGAAGAAAACCAAGAUUCCCAACUUCAUAUUGUUCUUCCUCAUUGGUUCUUGAGUUACUCUCUUAGUUCUCUGCCAUAUUUUCACUCAGAUUUUUUCAGUGGAAAGAGACAGAGAGAAAGGAAGCAUGUGUCUGCGCAUGUGAAAAAGGUAUAUGGGAAGAAAUAGAAAGAAAAGACUGGUUAAGGAGUAAGAGUAGGUAUAUAUAAAUAAUAAAGAAAAGGAUGAUUAGAUUAAUUAUGGAGAGCUCGUGAGCUCUCGGGUUCUGCAACAGCACAGCUGUAAUAAGCAAGCAAUGACUAGUGACGGGGAAGCUUUUGGAGUCAUUGGAAGUUUCUCCGACAUCAAACAUGGUUAGAGAAUGUGUUCCUCACCACUGGUACCCA
rnacentral:misc_RNA from 1 species